GAUACUGGACUGGUUUCAUCGCGGUCCCCGAAGGACUGACGCAUUCACGGAUUUUAACGUAUUUAAUGUGUAUUAACGCACUGCCACUCUGAUUUUUUUUGAUGCUCGGAGAAGUAUGAUUCUGCCAAUGGGAGCCCUCAGGUGCGCUCCUGAGCUGGGCGGUAUUCGACAGCGUCCCCUCUCUCUCUCCAGUGUCACCGUGCUCCGGGCUUUCGGUGACCAGUCUUCUCUCCCAGCCUGGAAGCUGGGGUUCUCCAGUCGUGGUGCGGGCUGGUCCCAGCCGGUCACCACCACCGGGACGGUUCAGUGGAAAGGAGGGCAUGUGAAUGUGUGUCUGGCUGUGUGCACGCAUGUGCACAUGUAGCCCAGGGUCCAGAGAGCUUGCGGUGAGAGAGGACGCAGCCCUGAACUCCCAGC